rnacentral:lncRNA from 1 species
ACAGACACAGUUUACAGGACCUCAUUCGCACUCCAAUGACAAUGAAAGGAAGGGGGUGUUGGGCAGAGAAGCAAAGAGCUCCGGUUCUCACCAUCACAUGGUAGCGGGUGUAAGUUUGUUCCCAACAUACCAGACAGAGAGCAACUCUCACCAGAGAAGAUCCCAAUGUGUUUUAUGCUAGAUCUGACUUUAAUUAAGGGUAGACAAUGCUCCCAUCAGUGCUGGAACUGGCCCCGGUAACUUGCUUUAGCUGAUGGAAUGUUACCAAACACAACAUGAUCAAAGGCUUGAGAGAUGAUUUCCCUCCUGUGCUUCCGCAAUUACCAUGAAAAGAACAUGGCCUGGUGGUCCCUGAUCCCCAAAGAAUGACGGACACCUGGAAAAA